UACGUAGGGGGGCAAGCGUUGUCCGGAAUCAUUGGGCGUAAAGCGCGUGUAGGCGGCUUGGUAAGUCCGUUCUGAAAGUCCAAGGCUCAACCUUGGGAUGCGGAUGGAUACGUGCUGAGCUCGAGUCCGGAAGAGGCGAGUGGAAUCCUGGUGUAGCGGUGAAAUGGCGCAGAUAUCAGGAGGAACACCAAUGGCGAAGGCAGCUCGCUGGGACGUGACUGACGCUGAGACGCGAAAGCGUGGGGAGCAACAGG
rnacentral:rRNA from 1 species